AUACAGCUGACGAGUCCCAAACAGGACGAAACGUACUUCAUGGAU
rnacentral:hammerhead_ribozyme from 1 species